GAUGAAGAACGUAGCGAAAUGCGAUAAGUAAUGUGAAUUGCAGAAUUCAGUGAAUCAUCGAAUCUUUGAACGCACAUUGCGCCCGCCAGUAUUCUGGCGGGCAUGCCUGUUCGAGCGUCAUUUCAACCAUCAAGCCCUGCUUGCGUUGGGGUCCUGCGGCUGCUCGCAGGCCCUGAAAACCAGUGGCGGGCUCGCUAGUCACACCGAGCGCAGUAAUACAUCUCGCUUUGGGCGUGCGGCGGGUUCUUGCCGUUAAACACCCCCUUUUUACCAAGGUUGACCUCGGAUCAGGUAGGAAUACCCGCUGAACUUAAGCAUAUCAAUAAGCGGAGGA
rnacentral:misc_RNA from 1 species